UACGUAGGGUGCAAGCGUUGUCCGGAAUUAUUGGGCGUAAAGAGCUCGUAGGCGGCUUGUCGCGUCGGCUGUGAAAACCUGGGGCUCAACCCCGGGCCUGCAGUCGAUACGGGCAGGCUAGAGUUCGGUAGGGGAGACUGGAAUUCCUGGUGUAGCGGUGAAAUGCGCAGAUAUCAGGAGGAACACCGGUGGCGAAGGCGGGUCUCUGGGCCGAUACUGACGCUGAGGAGCGAAAGCGUGGGGAGCGAACAGG
rnacentral:rRNA from 1 species